rnacentral:misc_RNA from 1 species
CUUCCUUAUCUUCUGUCUCUUUAGUUUCUGCCCCUUUGCUUUCUUUAACAACCUCUUUAAUUGUCAUUCCUUGACUCUCCUCUACACUUUCCUUCCCUUCAUUUGCGUUUUCUUGCCUCUCUUGAUUUGACUUAUCUUGGCUUUCUGUCUCUUUGUUCUCUUCAUUCUCCUUAUUCUCAUCAGGAUUCUCCUUACCUUCAUUUCCCCUCUCUUUGCUUUCUCUAUUAUCAGUCUCUUUGCUCUCUACAUUCUGCGUAUCUUGGACAUCAUUCACUUUGUUCUCUUCACUCCCAUUAUCUUUGCUAACAUUGUCCUUGAUCUGUUCUUUCUCUGUCUGGUGAUUAUCAGUGCUAUCCUCCCUCUCUUCUGCACCAACAUUCUCCUUGUUUUCUUCACCCACCUUCUCUCCAUCGAUGGAACCGUCCCUCCGAUCAAAUCCCUCUUCAGUUUGAUCAUGAAAAUGACUCUGGAUCUCGUCGUCUCCACCCCCAGUUCCUAUGUAGUUGUCAGGUUUAGUUUCAUCUUCAUUCUUGCUUUCUUCUUCUUCUUUCUCCCUGUGUCUCUCAUCUCUAACGAUGGUUUCUUCAGCUUCAGGGAGGUCCUUUCUUCCUAGUUUUAUAAUGCCAUUCCCAGUUUUGACACUGUCGUCAAAUGCUGCAGCUUUCUUGUCAUGAGAUUGCCUGACUUGGUAAAGCAGCCAGAUUCCAACACCUAGGAGAAGACAUAUUUGUACAGCAUGCUUUACCUUAAAACCUUUUGAUCUCUGGCUCCUAUGUGGUGAUGACCGAAACAUGAUUUAGCCCCCCUACGAAUGC